rnacentral:rRNA from 1 species
UACAGAGGGGGCAAGCGUUAUUCGGAAUUAUUGGGCGUAAAGGGCGCGUAGGCGGUUCGAUAAGUCCCGUGUGAAAUCCCUCGGCUCAACUGAGGAACUGCACGGGAAACUGACGGGCUUGAGUUCGGGAGAGGGAAGCGGAAUUCCGGGUGUAGCGGUGAAAUGCGUAGAUAUCCGGAGGAACACCGGUGGCGAAGGCGGCUUCCUGGACCGACACUGACGCUGAGGCGCGAAAGUGUGGGGAGCGAACAGG